rnacentral:lncRNA from 1 species
UGUCAUGUCCUCCGUUAGAUCCAAGUACUCUAAGCCUUUUCUUAGAGUCUCUUCCAAAGUUUUCCUAGGUCUUCCUCUACCCCUUCGGCCCUGAACCUCUGUCCCGUAGUCACAUCUUCGAACCAGAGCGUCAGUCGGCCUUCUUUGCACAUGUCCAAAUCACCGGAGCCGAUUUUCUCUCAUCUUUCCUACAAUUUCGGCUACUCCUACUUUACCUCGGAUAUCCUCAUUCCCAAUCUUAUCCUUUCUCGUGUGCCCACACAUCCCACGAAGCAUCCUCAUCUCCGCUACACCCAUUUUGUGUACGUGUUGAUGCUUCACCGCCCAACAUUCUGUGCCAUACAACAUCGCUGGCCUUAUUGCCGUCCUAUAAAAUUUUCCCUUGAGCUUCAGUGGCCUACGACGGUCACACAACACGCCGGAUGCACUCUUACACUUCAUCCAUCCAGCUCGUAUUCUAUGGUUGAGAUCUCCAUCUAAUUCUCCGUUCUCUUGCAAGAUAGAUCCUAGGUAGCGAAAACGGUCGCUUUUUGUGAUCUUCGCUAGAUUGCUCCGGUCAUUAGUGUGGAUAAGUAUAUAAAUGGAUAGAGAUAGGAAAGCAAACACAAGAUGUACGUGGUUCACCCAGAUUGGCUACGUCCACGGAAUAGAAGAGUUCUCAUUAAUUGUGAAGGGUUUACACAAGUACAUAGGUUCAAGCUCUCCUUUAGUGAGUACAAGUGAAUGAUUUAGUACAAAUGACAUUAGAGUACAAAUGACAUUAGGAAAUAUUGUGGGAGAAUGAUCUCGUAAUCACGAAACUUCUAAGUAUCGGAGUGUGGUGUCGUCUUGACUUGCCUUAUCUGUCUCAUAGGUAGAUGUGGCAUCUUCUCUGGAAGUACUCUUCCUCCAUCCAGGGGUGGUAUCUUUAACUGGUGGAGAUGCACAAGGUAAUGUAUCAAUUUCACUUGAAGCUUACUUGUAGUUUCAGGCUUGGUCAAGCGCGAUACAAACCAUGUAGUAGGAGUCCCCCAAGUCGCCGAGCUAGGGGAUCUGCUGAAAGAGGUGACAGACAAGGUAAGCAAUCAGAGCUCCGACUGAUUGUUCACCUUCUCCCCAUCUUGCAGCAGCAUGAAGGAUAAAGAGAAGAAAAAUGAGAAGAGAUGAUAUGAGAUACUUUUGCUUUUGAAGAAGUAACUUUCCACAGGCUUAUUCUUGAACUGAGCUGGAGGGUUUUCUGGUUUCCUCCAGAGUAUAAGGCCGACUGAAGAAUUUGAGGGUCAAAACAAGUCCAUCAAAUCUAGAGUACGUUCCACCCUGCUGAUAUGGGAUACUUUUGCUUUUGACAGAGUAAUGGAUGUAUCGGCACGUGUGCUGUUACGCUUGUCUCCACAUGCUUCCUUGUAUCCUUCGCACUUGCCCUAUCUGUUCCUCAAGCAGAUGCGGAAUCUUCCCUGGAAACAUAAGAUGUUGAAGAUGAGUACUCGAGAGCAAUGCCAGGUAAGUAAUCAGGUAAGGGGUUCCAGGCAGUCAGUUCCUGGCUGGAAGCUUGAUUCCAAGUGCUGACUGAUUGCUCUCUUUCUCCUUGUCUUGCAGGUAAAAACAAGGCCAAAGGAAAAGACAGGGAAAAAGCAUGAUAUGGGAUACUCUUGCUUUUAACCCUGAUGAUAUGAGAUAUUCUUGCUCUAGUAUAGCUUGUUUGCAGAGGUAUUAUCGGGGGGAAAGAAAGCUGAAUAUUUCGAAAGGCUUCGUUGGGAGUGCCCUCUCAGAUAUGAUGAAGGGUUGAGCAUUUUUUGCAGGUCUGCCUGUCCGUUGGGGAUGGAGGUCGACAUAUAUAGGAGUCUCCCUAACAACAAGUAGUAAUGCUAUUCCUUUACCCUGCUUGGUCAUAGCACGGUAGUGGGAGCUGCCAGUUUCACAUGUUUUAACUCUGUCAGAGCACUUUGAAAAAGUGGUCUGUGGUAUCUGGCUCUCGAGAUUCGGAGAACGAUGCCUCUUCGAUUUUUGAGAAAGCAAUCAUGCUGGGGGUCUGGCUCUCGAGAUUCGGAGAGCAGUGUCUCUUCGAUUUUUUGAGAAAGUAAUCAUGUUGGGAGUCUGGCUCUCGAGAUUCGGAGGGCGGUGCCUCUUCGAUUUUGGAGCAAGCAAUCUUGUUGGGAGUGUUUUCUCGAAUGUGAGUAAAGGUUGGGCAUGUUUGCUAGUCUACCUUGCCACGAAGCACAGAGGGUUGACACACAGGGACUUUCCAAUUAUCCAGCAGUGGUACUGUUCCUUUACCCUUGUGGGUAAUAAUAUGGUAGCUAGACCUUCAAAAUUUAUGUGUCUAAACUUUGUUAGUGCUGUUUCUUUGCUAUUCUUUUACCUUUCUUGGUCAGAGCGAUGUAGUGGGAGCUGCAAGCUUCACGUGCUCAACUUUGGCAGAGAACUUUGGCAAAGUUAUCUGUGGUACCCAUGAGCUAUUGUUGCGUGUGGGAAGUGGGUGAUUGAACAGUAAGAUUCAUGUGCUUUCUACUUCACCAGAAGUCUUCGACAGAAUGCCCAUAAUUUCUGCAAAGCUGAGUGUGCGUGUGACAGGUGCUGACAAGGCUAGAAAAGUAGGUGCCUCUUCGAUUUCUGAGAUCGGCCCUCGUGGUCUCUGAGCAGCCCAGCUUUUGAGAAAGCGAGCGCCUCUUCGAUUGAUUCGGAAGAACGAUGCCUCAUCGAUUUUUGAGAAAGCAAUCAUGCUGGGGGUCUGGCUCUCGAAUUCGGGGAGCAGUGUCUCUUCGAUUUUUGAGAAAGUAAUCAUGUUGGGAGUCUGGCUCUCGAGAUUCGGAGGGCGGUGCCUCUUCGAUUUUGGAGCAAGCAAUCUUGUUGGGAGUGUUUUCUCGAAUGUGAGUAAAGGUUGGGCAUGUUUGCUAGUCUACCUUGCCACGAAGCACAGAGGUUGACACACAGGGACUUUCCAAUUAUCCAGCAAUGGUACUGUUCCUUUACCCUCUCUUCGAUUUUUAAGAAAGUAGUCAUGUUGGGAGUCUGGCUCUCGAGAUUCGGAGGGACGGUGCCUCUUCGAUUUUGGAGCAAGCAAUCUUAUUGGGAGUGUUUUCUCGAAUGUGAGUAAAGGUUGGGCAUGUUUGCUAGUCUACCUUGCCACGAAGCACAGAGGUUGACACACAGGGACUUUCCAAUUAUCCAGCAGUGGUACUGUUCCUUUACCCUUGUGGGUAGGUAAUACCCCUGUUUUUUUUAAACAGUUGUUUCUUUGCUAUUCUUUUACCAGAGCGAUGUAGUGGGAGCUGCAAGCUUCACGUGCUCAACUUUGGCAGAGAACUUUGGCAAAGUUAUCUGUGGUACCCAUGAGCUAUUGUUGCGUGUGGGAAGUGGGUGAUUGAACAGUAAGAUUCAUGUGUUUUCUACUUCCCCAGAAGUCUUCGACAGAAUGCCCAUAAUUUCCGCAAAGCUGAGUGUGCGUGUGUGACAGGUGCUGACAAGGCUGGAAAAGUAGGUGCCUCUUCGAUUUCUGAGAUCGGCCCUCGUGGUCUCUGGGAGCCCAGCUUUUGAGAAAGCGAGCGCCUCUUCGAUUUCUGAGAUCGGCCUUCGUGGUCUUUGAGCAGCCCAACUUUUGAGAAAGCAAACGCCUCUUCGAUUUCUGAGAUCAACCCUCGUGAUCUCUAAGCAGCCCAGCUUUUGAGAAAGCAAACGCCUCUUCGAUUUCUGAGCAGGCGCCUCUUCGAUUUCUGAAGCUCCGUCGAGUGCAGAUUUUAUAGGGGCUGGCAUUAAGUUCCAAAGCACACUUGAAUCUCCACCAGUAGAAGCUUCAUUCUUGCACUUCUAAGAUCUUGAUUUGUCCGACCUCUUCUCUCUUCAACACCUUUGAAAAUGUCUGGCCCCUCCGACCGUCGUUUUGACUUGAACCUUGUUGAAGAGGCAGCCCCGCCUUCUCCAGACAACAUAUGGCGCCCAUCCUUCGUCUCCCCUACUGGUCCUCUUACCGUUGGGGAUUCCGUGAUGAAGAAUGAUAUGACCGCUGCGGUGGUGGCCAGGAACCUUCUCACUCCCAAAGAUAACAGACUACUUUCCAAACGGUCUGAUGAGUUAGCUGUUAAGGAUUCGCUGGCUCUCAGUGUUCAGUGUGCAGGUUCUGUGUCUAAUAUGGCCCAACGCCUAUUUGCUCGAACCCGCCAAGUUGAAUCAUUGGCGGCUGAAGUGAUGAGUCUCAAACAGGAGAUUAGAGGGCUCAAGCAUGAGAAUAAACAGUUGCACCGGCUCGCACAUGACUAUGCUACAAACAUGAAGAGGAAGCUUGACCAGAUGAAGGAAACUGAUGGUCAGGUUUUACUUGAUCAUCAGAGAUUUGUGGGUUUGUUCCAAAGGCAUUUAUUGCCUUCGUCUUCUGGGGCUGUACCGCGUAAUGAAGCUCCAAAUGAUCAACCUCUGAUGCCUCCUCCUUCUAGGGUUCUGUCCAGUACUGAGGCUCCAAAUGAUCCCCCUCCGGUGCCUUCUCUUUCUGGGGCUCUACCGACUGCUGAGACUUCUCCUAAGCAACCUUUGUGAAGGCUCCCUCUUGUUUGUUUAUUUUGACUCAUGUAUAUGUACAUAUUUGUAGCUUAUCGGGGAUAUCAAUAAAUAAGCUUUCCUUCAUUUCAACGUAUUGUGUUAAAUACACCAAAGCCUUCUUCGCUAAGUUCUUUGAAUUUUCUUUUGUUGAAGCUUGUAUGUUGAAGCUUUCUGAGUGGAGCAUGUAGGUUGGGGUAGUGUUCCCUUAAUUUUCCCGAGUGAGGAAAACUUCUCGGUUGGAGACUUGGAAAAUCCAAGUCACUGAGUGGGAUCGGCUAUAUGAAUCUUAGAACGCCAUUGUGCUCGAUCCUGUGUCAUGUCCUUCGUUAGAUCCAAGUACUCUAAGUCUUUUCUUAGAGUCUCUUCCAAAGUUUUCCUAGGUCUUCCUCUACCCCUUCGGCCCUGAACCUCUGUCCCAUAGUCGCAUCUUCUAAUCGGAGCGUCAGUAGGCCUUCUUUGCACAUGUCCAAACCACCGUAACCGAUUUUCUCUCAUCUUUCCUUCAAUUUCGGCUACUCCUACUUUACCCCGGAUAUCCUCAUUCCUAAUCUUAUCCUUUCUCGUGUGCCCACACAUCCAACGAAGCAUCCUCAUCUCCGCUACACCCAUUUUGUGUACGUGUUGAUGUUUCACCGCCCAACAUUCUGUGCCAUACAGCAUCGCCGGCCUUAUUGCCGUCCUAUAAAAUUUUCCCUUGAGCUUCAGUGGCAUACGGCGGUCACACAACACGCCGGAUGCACUCUUCCACUUCAUCCAUCCAGCUUGUAUUCUAUGGUUGAGAUCUCCAUCUAAUUCUCCGUUCUUUUGCAAGAUAGAUCCUAGGUAACGAAAACGGUCGCUCUUUGGUAUUUCUUGAUCUCCGAUCCUCACCCCUAACUCGUUUUGGCCUCCAUUUGCACUGAACUUGCACUCCAUAUAUUCUGUCUUUGAUCGGCUUAGGCGAAGACCUUUAGAUUCCAACACUUCUCUCCAAAGGUUAAGCUUUGCAUUUACCCCUUCCUGAGUUUCAUCUAUCAACACUAUAUCGUCUGCGAAAAGCAUACACCAAGGAAUAUCAUCUUGAAUAUGUCCUGUUAACUCAUCCAUUACCAACGCAAAAAGGUAAGGACUUAAGGAUGAGCCUUGAUGUAAUCCUACAGUUAUGGGAAAGCUUUCGGUUUUUCCUUCAUGAGUUCUUACGGCAGUCUUUGCUCCUUCAUACAUAUCCUUUAUAGCUUGGAUAUAUGCUACUCGUACUCCUUUCUUCUCUAAAAUCCUCCAAAGAAUGUCUCUUGGGACCCUAUCAUACGCUUUUUCCAAAUCUAUAAAGACCAUGUGUAAAUCCUUUUUCCCAUCUCUAUAUCUUUCCAUCAAUCUUCGUAAGAGAUAGAUUGCCUCCAUGGUUGAGCGCCCUGGCAUGAACCCGAAUUGGUUGUCCGAAACCCGUGUCUCUUGCCUCAAUCUAUGCUCAAUGACUCUCUCCCAGAGCUUCAUUGUAUGACUCAUUAGCUUAAUACCCCUAUAGUUCAUGCAAUUUUGUACGUCGCCCUUAUUCUUGUAGAUAGGCACCAAAGUGCUCGUUCGCCACUCAUUUGGCAUCUUCUUCGUUUUCAAAAUCCUAUUGAAAAGGUCAGUGAGCCAUGUUAUACCUGUCUCUCCCAAAACUUUCCACACUUCGAUUGGUAUAUCGUCUGGGCCUAUUGCUUUUCUAUGCUUCAUCUUCUUCAAAGCUACAACCACUUCUUCCUUCCGGAUUCGACGAUAAAAAGAGUAGUUUCUACACUCUUCUGAGUUACUCAACUCCCCUAAAGAAGCACUCCUUUCAUGUCCUUCAUUGAAAAGAUUAUGAAAAUAACCUCUCCAUCUGUCUUUAACCGCGUUCUCUGUAGCAAGAACCUUUCCAUCCUCAUCCUUGAUGCACCUCACUUGGUUUAGGUCCCUUGUCUUCUUUUCCCUUGCUCUAGCUAGUUUAUAGAUAUCCAACUCUCCUUCUUUGGUAUCUAGUCGUUUAUACAUAUCGUCGUAAGCCGCUAACUUAGCUUCUCUGACAGCUUUCUUUGCCUCUUGCUUCGCUUUUCUAUACCUUUCACCAUUUUCAUCGGUCCUCUCCUUGUAUAAGGCUUUACAACAUUCCUUCUUAGCCUUCACCUUUGUUUGUACCUCCUCAUUCCACCACCAAUAUUCCUUUUGGUGUGGGGCAAAGCCCUUUGACUCUCCUAAUACCUCUUUUGCUACUUUUCGGAUACAACUAGCCAUGGAAUCCCAGAUUUGGCUAGCCUCCCCCUCUCUAUCCCACACACAUUGGGUGAUUACCUUCUCUUUGAAAAAUGGCUUGUUUUUCUUCUUUUAGAUUCCACCAUCUAGUCCUUGGGCACUUCCAAGUCUUGUUCUUUUGUCUCACUCUUUUGAUAUGUACAUCCAUCACCAACAAGCGAUGUUGAUUAGCCACGCUCUCUCCUGGUAUAACUUUGCAAUCCUUACAAGUUAUACGAUCCCCUUUCCUCAUUAGAAGAAAAUCUAUUUGUGUUUUUUGACGACCCACUCUUGUAGGUGAUCACAUGUUCUUCUCUCUUCUUAAAGAAGGUGUUGGCUAAGAAGAGAUCAUAUGCCAUUGCAAAAUCCAAGAUAGCUUCCCCAUCCUCGUUUCUCUCCCCAAAACCAUGGCCACCAUGAAAACCUCCAUAGUUGCAUGUCUCCCUGCCCACGUGUCCAUUUAAAUCUCCUCCUAUAAAUAGCUUCUCCGUCUGAGCAAUUCCUUGCACCAAGUCUCCAAGGUCUUCCCAAAAUUUCUCCUUCGAACUCGUAUCCAACCCUACUUGAGGUGCGUACGCACUAAUCACAUUGAUAAGUUCUUGUCCUAUUACAAUCUUGAUUGCCAUGAUUCUAUCUCCUACCCUCUUGACAUCUACAACAUCUUGUGUCAAGGUCUUGUCCACGAUGAUGCCAACACCGUUUCUCGUUCUAUUUGUGCCCGAAUACCAAAGUUUAAACCCUGAGUUUUCUAGAUCCUUUGCCUUACUACCAACCCACUUAGUUUCUUGUAGGCACAUAAUAUUUAUCCUUCUCCUCACCAUAACUUCCACUACUUCCAUAGAUUUUCCCGUUAAGGUUCCUAUAUUCCACGUUCCUAAACGCAUUUUGCUCUCUUGAACUCUACCCUUCUGUCCUAGCUUCUUCACCCUCCCCCGUCUAAUAGGAUCAAAGUACUUCUUUUGUGUGUCCCGUGUAAAGUUGAUAGGAGCAUAUGCUCCCAAACAACUUUGAGUGGAGUCGUUCGAAAGAAGUUUCUACGGCCCCCUUGCUCAUUUAACACUGCAUCCGGGUGCCGAUGGAGAUACAGCGACCCUUGCUCACUUAUCACUGUGCUCGGGCCACACAGCGCGCCACUUACGGGUGACGGCCUAGCUUUAGCGCGAUUUUGUUCUGGAUUCAUUUUCAUAAGGAUUCGACGUGAUCAUGGAGUGCCGGCUGUCGACUACCUGACGCCCUCCCCCUCCUCCUUUAUCCGGGCUUGGGACCGGCUGUGACAAUAAUAUUGGUUUAG